rnacentral:rRNA from 1 species
UACGGAGGGUGCAAGCGUUAAUCGGAAUUACUGGGCGUAAAGCGUGCGCAGGCGGUUUGUUAAGUCUGUUGUGAAAUCCCCGAGCUCAACUUGGGAAUUGCAAUGGAUACUGGCAGGCUGGAGUAUGGUAGAGGAAGGUGGAAUUCCCGGUGUAGCAGUGAAAUGCGUAGAGAUCGGGAGGAACACCAGUGGCGAAGGCGGCCUUCUGGACCAAUACUGACGCUCAUGCACGAAAGCGUGGGGAUCAAACAGG